GAUCAUGGCUCAGAUUGAACGCUGGCGGCAGGCUUAACACAUGCAAGUCGAACGGUAACAGGAGAAAGCUUGCUUUCUUGCUGACGAGUGGCGGACGGGUGAGUAAUGCUUGGGAAUCUGGCUUAUGGAGGGGGAUAACGACGGGAAACUGUCGCUAAUACCGCGUAGAGUCGAGAGACGAAAGUGCGGGACGCAAGGCCGCAUGCCAUAGGAUGAGCCCAAGUGGGAUUGGUAG
rnacentral:rRNA from 1 species